CAGCAACCAUGCGACUUUGAUUUUGUGUAGAUCCGGUUCAAUUAAAGACACAGACAGACACCUGAUGGACGGCCAUGCACAUAUUGGACCGGACGAAUAACUGAAGAGCUGAACAACUCACGACCUGGAGGAUCACAUGCACAACAUGCGCACUUCGCUGACCUCCUGCUGUGCGUGUCCAGACCAGAUGAAGACACUGACAUCAUCUACUGCAGAUUGACACCAGCAGGUGCACCAGACUUUCACAGUCUGAAGACUCCCUCUCAUCACAUUCACGACCACGUCACGUUCUUGUGCCUCUAAAUUUAAUUUCUGUUCCCUCUUGACUCAGAGGAGUCACACGGGUUAAUAACUGAGGUGAGGCUUGUUACCUAAUGCAGUCUUUGGAGGGUCGGGUCCACGAAGCAAACAUUUUCAGACAAAGAAAAAGAAUAUUCAUAUUCCAAGGGUUUGUCCCACAUUUUGAACAGCAAAUUGUGUAAGUCUCACCUCAUUUGUCCGAUUUCGUCUUUGGCGUCUGCUACUUCCUGGUUAGUGGGCCCAUUAGUUUAGGCUACCAAACUCUCAAAAUGCUGAAUAAAACAAUAAUAUAGAGUAGUGAAGUAUGGUUGUGGUUAAGUAUACUGACAGGGGAAGAAGUUACUGAGGAAAGACGUGUUCAUGUUGGCAGUGUGUGAUAUUUGGGGCUGCUGAAUCCAAAGAUGGAUUAUCAAUGGUUGCAUUAUCGUAGCAUUUAUAGCUUUGCUGGGCGAGUUACCUUGGAGCUGCAAGCACUACUUAUUUUGUUAACUCGAUUCACGUUUUUCUAGAAAAUGCCAGAAAAUUGUCUCAGAACCCAAGGUGUUAGCUUAACGUUAUUGGUUUUGUCGAGCCAACAGUCGAGAACACAAAGAUGUUUCACAA
ensembl:lncRNA